rnacentral:lncRNA from 1 species
GGGAGAAAUUAGAAAUGUAGUUUUUGUUUUGAAUCCCUUGAAAAACUACAGUGACAUAGGAUUUACAUUGCACCUCCUAACUCUUCCAUUGGCUGUCAACAAUCUUUAGGGACUGGUUUCAACCGUCAUCUGUUACCGGGCAGAAAAUUAUGGCUCAGUCAAUCACUGGCCAGUCUGAGGAGAGGUGUCUUAUGACUCGCAUGCACGUGACUUUGUUGUUUUUUUAUUUUUCUUCUGGGAUGAAUACCUAUUGCCCGGUUGUAAAAGUAUCGCAAUUUUACGUAAAAAAAUACCCUAAAGGAUUGAUUGUAAACAUCGUUUGAUGUGUUUCUACAAACGGAAAUGGAACUUUGAACAUUUCGAAUAUGGAUUUGCGUCCACACCACAUGGCAUUGUAAAGUGUUCUGGAUGGGUCAACAAAACGGACGUAUUUGGACAUAAAUGAUGGACUUUGCAGAACAAAUGAACAUUUCUUGUGGAAGUGGGUGCCCAUCCGAGUGCAUUCCGCCAAAGACCAGCAAAGGAGUGUCAUCUGAUGAAGAUUGUCAAUGGUAGUCGCCAGUCUACUAACCACCGGUCCAGGCACCAUCAUUACGCACACCUGCUCCCCAUCAUUAUGCACACCUGG